GUAUUUGUGCAUUUUCCAGAGUCGGUAAAAUUUCUACGGUGAAGUCAUUUCUAUGAAAUUCUGAAUAAUUAGCGACUUCUCUCUCAAUCUCUUGCCACCUAAAAAAAAUGAAACAAACUGGCAUAUUCUUUAUAUGCAUCUUAGAAUAUAUAUCAAACGGUACUUGAAUUUGUUAGGGAAAUAAUAUCGCAUAAAUGUGAAAUAAUAAAAAUAAUCUGAUUCCGGUGCGAAAUGUCGCACCGCGCUGAGACAGAAGUAAAAUUCCUUGGCUAGUUACCAAGAUUUUGCAUUUUUUCAGUAUCUGUAUAUUACAUUUUGGCUUCGAAAUGAUACUUCGUGAUCAUUUGGAUUAUCCUAGUAACUAAAAGUUAAUAGUUUUUCAUGGUAUAAUCCACUGCCAAAAUUAAGGAUUUCCGAUAUACGAC
rnacentral:misc_RNA from 1 species